rnacentral:piRNA from 1 species
UCAGCCUCCCGAGUGCUGGGAUAACAG